rnacentral:rRNA from 1 species
AGAGUUUGAUCCUGGCUCAGGACGAACGCUGGCGGCGUGCUUAACACAUGCAAGUCGAACGCUGAAGCCCAGCUUGCUGGGUGGAUGAGUGGCGAACGGGUGAGUAACACGUGAGUAACCUGCCCCCUUCUUUGGGAUAACGCCCGGAAACGGGUGCUAAUACUGGAUAUUCACUGGCCUUCGCAUGGGGGUUGGUGGAAAGGUUUUUUCUGGUGGGGGAUGGGCUCGCGGCCUAUCAGCUUGUUGGUGGGGUGAUGGCCUACCAAGGCUUUGACGGGUAGCCGGCCUGAGAGGGUGACCGGUCACAUUGGGACUGAGAUACGGCCCAGACUCCUACGGGAGGCAGCAGUGGGGAAUAUUGCACAAUGGGCGAAAGCCUGAUGCAGCGACGCCGCGUGAGGGAUGGAGGCCUUCGGGUUGUAAACCUCUUUCGCUCAUGGUCAAGCCGCAACAAUGGUUGUGGUGAGGGUAGUGGGUAAAGAAGCGCCGGCUAACUACGUGCCAGCAGCCGCGGUAAUACGUAGGGCGCGAGCGUUGUCCGGAAUUAUUGGGCGUAAAGGGCUUGUAGGCGGUUGGUCGCGUCUGCCGUGAAAUCCUCUGGCUUAACUGGGGGCGUGCGGUGGGUACGGGCAGGCUUGAGUGCGGUAGGGGAGACUGGAACUCCUGGUGUAGCGGUGGAAUGCGCAGAUAUCAGGAAGAACACCGGUGGCGAAGGCGGGUCUCUGGGCCGUUACUGACGCUGAGGAGCGAAAGCGUGGGGAGCGAACAGGAUUAGAUACCCUGGUAGUCCACGCUGUAAACGUUGGGCACUAGGUGUGAGGCUCCUUUCCGGGGGUUUUGCGCCGUAGCUAACGCAUUAAGUGCCCCGCCUGGGGAGUACGGCCGCAAGGCUA